AGUGGUCUAUGCUCGUCUCAAAGAUUAAGCCAUGCAUGUCUAAGUUCACAACAUUAGUUGAAACUGCGAAGCGCUCAGUAAAUCAGUUAUUGUCUCUUCGAUCGUAGUACCACAUCGGAUAACUGUGGCAAAUCUAGAGCUAAUACGUGCGAAAAUUACUACCUAGUAGUAGCAUUUAUUAGUAUCAACAUAUUUAUAUGUAGGUGAAUCUAGAUAACUUUGCAUAUCAUUCAAUUGAGUGAUAGUUCGAUCGAAUUUCUGCCCUAUCAUUUUGUCGGUGAGGUAGUGGCUCACCGAGGAUGCAACGGGUAACGGGGAAUCAGGGUUCGAUUCCGGAGAGGGAGCCUGAGAAACGGCUACCACAUCCAAGGAAGGCAGCAGGCGCGCAAAUUACCCAAUCCAGACACUGGGAGGUAGUGACGAGAAAUAUCGAAUUAAACUUUGUUUAAUACCGAAACAUACUUGAUUUAAUAAAUCUCGUUUUUAUUGGAGGGCAAGUCUGGUGCCAGCAGCCGCGGUAAUUCCAGCUCCAAUAGUGUACAUCAAAAUUGUUGCACUUAAAACGCUCGUAGUUGGAUUGCAGUCUACUAGUAUAACUUGUCUUUCAUAGCAAGUUUACUAUAGAAAAUUUUGCAGGACUUGUUCAAUUACUUCACUGUAAUUGAACGAAUAUCCUGCAGAGCGUGCCUUGAAUAAAGCAUAGUGCUCAAAACAGGCGUAAGCUCGAGUGUAAUAGCAUGGAACGAAUAUAUACCACUCUCAAGUGGUUGAUUAAAAGGAACAUUAGAGGGCAUUAGUACUUGAUGGCGAGAGGUGAAAUUCUUAGACCCGUCAAAGACUGACUAUUGCGAAAGCAUUUGCCAAGAAUGUUUUCAUUAAUCAAGAACGAAAGUUAAAGGUUCGAAGACGAUCAGAUACCGUCCUAGUUUUAACUGUAAACUAUGCCAACAAGGAAUUAUCCUGCUAUCAAGUUGGUUAGUUUCCACGCGAAAGCGAAAGUUUUCAGGCUGUGGGGAUAGUAUAGUUGCAAGGCUGAAAUUUCAAGAAAUUGACGGAGAGGCACCACCAGGAGUGGAGCCUGCGGCUUAAUUUGACUCAACACGGGGCAACUUACCAGGUCCAGACAUUGGAAGGAUUGACAGACUGACCAGAUCUUUCAUGAUUCGAUGAUUGGUGGUGCAUGGCCGUUCUUAGUUGGUGGAGUGAUCUGUCAGGUUAAUUCCGGUAACGAACGAGAUUUUGGUCCCUACUUUCCUUCUCUUCAYUGUAAGAGUGAUUAGGGAGACUUUACUUGCAAAAGUAAGGAAGUAAAGCAAUAACAGGUCUGUGAUGCCCUUCGAUGUCCUGGGCUGCACGCGCGCUACAAUGAAAACUCCAAAAAGUUCCUAUCUUGAGAGAGACGGGUAAUCUUUCAAAUGUUUUCAUGCUAUGGAUUGAGCCUUGUAAUUAUUGCUCAUGAAAGAGGAAUUCCUUGUAAGCGCGAGUCACCAGCUCGUGUUGAAUACGUCUCUGCCUCUUGUACACACCGCCCGUCGCUACUACCGAUUGAAUCUAUUUCCAAGAAGUUUGGAUUUUUCAGCAUUUAUGUUGAAAGAGAGAAAUUUCAAGGAAAUAAAUUUGGAGGAAGUAAAAGUCGUAACAAGGUUUCCGUAGGUGAACCUGCGGAAGGAUCAUCAAUGUUAAUGUUUAUUAUUAUUAUCAUUGAAUGGAGAACUUGUYGUUCYYUAUUCAAAAUUCCUUUCCUUCWGCUGUAUGUGACAGURUGAAUGGGGAGAAAACUGUUAUUUUAUGUUUGUGUGUUAAAAAUAYAAGUGUACAACCGUUAACGGUGGAUCACUC
rnacentral:rRNA from 1 species